rnacentral:rRNA from 1 species
GAUGAACGCUGGCGGCGUGCCUAGUACAUGCAAGUCGAGCGAAUGGAUUAAGAGCUUGCUCUUAUGAAGUUAGCGGCGGACGGGUGAGUAACACGUGGGUAACCUGCCCAUAAGACUGGGAUAACUCCGGGAAACCGGGGCUAAUACCGGAUAACAUUUUGAACCGCAUGGUUCGAAAUUGAAAGGCGGCUUCGGCUGUCACUUAUGGAUGGACCCGCGUCGCAUUAGCUAGUUGGUGAGGUAACGGCUCACCAAGGCAACGAUGCGUAGCCGAGCUGAGAGGGUGAUCGGCCACGCUGGGACUGAGACACGGACCAGACUCCUACGGGAGGCAGCAGUAGGGAAUCUUCCGCAAUGGACGAAAGUCUGACGGAGCAACGCCGCGUGAGUGAUGAAGGCUUUCGGGUCGUAAAACUCUGUUGUUAGGGAAGAACAAGUGCUAGUUGAAUAAGCUGGCACCUUGACGGUACCUAACCAGAAAGCCACGGCUAACUACGUGCCAGCCGCCGGGUAA